GAAUAUCUUUAAUCUUAGCACUCAGGAAGUAGACAGGAGGAUUUCUGUGAGUUUGAGGCCAGCCUGGUCUAUAGAGUGAGUCCUAGGGCAGUCAGGACAACGCAGAAAAACCCUGUCUGGAAAAACCAAACCAUCUGCUUGACAGGUCACAGGAGAGCAGCAGAGUCUAAUACAGGUCUCAGGUAUUAUCUGUACACUCCCAGCUUCUGGGACAGCAGAAGCUAAGGAUCUGUUUGUACAGCUCAAAAGGAUUUACAUUAGGUUACACAUAGAGGUAGGUUGUUUAGGGGGCUAAGACAGCAAGGACAUUUUGCACAGGGCCUCUUUAUUUCUAUUUUCCACAAUUGAGUUCUACUCAAUCACAGAUGUGGCUCUGUGGCUCUCUGUUUUCCUGGGGACUUAACAGUACUGCACAAGGUCUCCAAUGGAGAUAGGUGGUCAGGUGUUGCUUUCACUGACCAGUAUUCAUUCUUCAGGGCUGGAUCAAGGAGCAAUUUCCACUUUUAAGUGUCAGUUAAUAUUUUAUUGGACCCUGUGGCAUACUUCUUCUUCUUUUUUUUUUUCGAGACAGGAUAUUGUUAGCCUUAAUAAUACCUGUUUCAUAGAAUUAUUUUGAGCACUGAAUGAGACACUGUGUUAACAGGAUAUACAUUUAAUAAACAGCCGCUAGGGAGCUAGAGAGAUGGUUCAGCAGUUAAGAGCACAAGUUGUUCUUCCAGAGGACCAAGGUUCAAGUUCCAGCACCCACAUAAUAGUUCACAACCAUCUAUAACUCCAGUUCUAGGAGAUCUGAUACUACCCUCUUCUGGUCUCCUCUGUUCUCUCCAGGUACCAGGCAUGCACAGAGACAAACAUGCAGGCAAAAUACAUACAUACAUACAUACAUACAUACAUACAUACAUACAGAGAGAUAGUAAAUUUUUUAAAAAUGGCAGCUAUAUAAAGUUUUGUUUUUGUGUAGUUUUCUGGGUCCAUAUGGAAGAACAUGAGGUAUUCUUUUACUAAUAAGUUUUCAAUAUAAAGUACAAAAAAUAAAUAACAUUUAGUGUCUUCUGAAAACUUGAUCCUUCAGACUCUCUUCAUGACUUACAAAAUGAUGUGAGAGGCUGGGAUGCAACUUGGUUAACAGAGACUCAGUCUGGCACACAGUAGGUCCUGGGAUUAAUCUCCAGCACUCCAUAUGUAGUGGGACAUGCCUGUUAUCUGAUUGGGAGGAGGGGAUCAGGAAUUGUAGGCCAUUCUUGGCAAACAAAUGCU
rnacentral:lncRNA from 1 species